rnacentral:rRNA from 1 species
AGCAGCCGCGGUAAUUCCAGCUCCAAUAGCGUAUAUUAAAGUUGUUGCAGUUAAAAAGCUCGUAGUUGAAUUUCGGGGUCAGCAGGUUGGUCGUGCCAACGGUAUGUACUGGCUUUGCUGAUUCCUCCUUCUUGUAGAACUGUAAUGCCAUUAAUUUGGUGUUGCAGGGAAACAGGACUGUUACUUUGAAAAAAUUAGAGUGUUUAAAGCAGGCUUACGCUUGAAUACAUUAGCAUGGAAUAAUGAAAUAGGACGUUGAUCCUAUUUUGUUGGUUUCUAGGAUUGACGUAAUGAUUAAUAGGGAUAGUUGGGGGCAUUAGUAUUCAAUUGUCAGAGGUGAAAUUCUUGGAUUUAUUGAAGACUAACUACUGCGAAAGCAUUUGCCAAGGAUGUUUUCAUUAAUCAAGAACGAAAGUUAGGGGAUCGAAGACGAUCAGAUACCGUCGUAGUCUUAACCAUAAACUAUGCCGACUAGGGAUCGGAUGAUGUUAAUUUUUAAUGUACUCAUUCGGCGCCUUAC